rnacentral:snRNA from 1 species
CCACUUACUUGGCAAGGGAGAUACCAUGAUUAUGAAGGUAGUUUUCUCAGGGCAAUACUUAUCCAUUGCACCACAAUGUUUUUAACACUCACCUGUCUUUCAACAUGUAGGUUGUUUCCAAAGUUGUGUAUAUAGAAAUAGUGUUGCUAUGAAGAUGUGCAGGGGCGAAG